CGGCGAUGGUUGCUCCAAGUCCUGGUGUGCAGCGUGCAAAGGUAGGAGGGUUCGGGGAGCGGGGUUAGGUCAUAAGAGGCAGAGGGAGGCCCAGAGGGUUCUUUUUAGCAGCGGCGGGUAGACGGGGUACCGGCGCCUGUUUCGAAGAGGUGAGGGGAUGUUCGACGAUCGAGGUGAGACGGUUGCGGUAGCCGCGACGAAGUUACCCGAACAUGAGACUGAGUCUAGUGCUCAAACUACUCCCGGAGUUGGACCAGGCGGUAAGGACAUAGUAGUGCCCACUGCGACAACACGUGUAGAGAGGAGGAUGGAACUACGGCGACCCUAGGUGUUGGGUGGCCUUUCCUCAUCGUCGCGGGAGUGUCCAACCUGGUGAGGGCUAGGCAGCGGCGGACGUGUCGGUCCUGCCCGGUUGGUAGCUCCCGUAGAAGGAGGUGGUGAACGCUACUCACCGGCUCGGUACCUCGCCUCCGCCGUCCCUCAUAACUAAUAUAACCUUCCGGUUCCACGCGUAGCACGGAACCCGAGAGACGUAGAGGUGCCAGAGGGAAGGGGUAAUCAAACGAUGGGAACUAAUAUAACGAAACCAACCUUAACCUAGGAGUACAUCAAAGUACGACUAAACUCGAUGCGUGAUCCCUAAUAAAGACGUGCUCCUACAUAAACCCUCUCUAAAACUCACCGACGAUGAUGACCUACGUUAACAACCUUAACAGUCUCUACCACGUCUAUAACUUCCUCAGAGUUGUAACUACCAAUGAAGGACGGCUCUAAACACUUUAUGAAUUCUUGAUGUUCUUAAAAGUAUGUCGAGGUCAAAUCCGUUUACCUACCUCAUGAAACGAAAACGUAGUAUACAAAAAUUACCGAACCUCAAGUAGGAGGCGGUGUGAUUGCUGCUGGGUUACGGUACCACCACCUCUGGUGUUGUCUACAGUUCCGCCUCCUCUCCACAAAUGUAAAAAAAGGACCGUCACUCACAAAUGUGUUAGAUCUGUAUAGAUACUACGACCGAGGUCGGUCUAAACCCCUGAUAAUUGGUUUUAUAACUAACGUUGUUUAAUCAGACCUAUUAUUUAAUACAUAAAUCGAAGAGAUAUUCGCCGUGGUCACUCUUACACGUACGCAAUCUGUUAAGUUAAAAUCACUUACGUACGUUUGACUUAAUACAUAAUCAAACUCG
rnacentral:rRNA from 1 species